rnacentral:rRNA from 1 species
UACGGAGGAUCCGAGCGUUAUCCGGAUUUAUUGGGUUUAAAGGGUGCGUAGGCGGCCUGUUAAGUCAGGGGUGAAAGACGGUAGCUCAACUAUCGCAGUGCCCUUGAUACUGAUGGGCUUGAAUGUACUAGAGGUAGGCGGAAUGUGACAAGUAGCGGUGAAAUGCAUAGAUAUGUCACAGAACACCAAUUGCGAAGGCAGCUUACUAUGGUGCAAUUGACGCUGAGGCACGAAAGCGUGGGGAUCAAACAGG